rnacentral:lncRNA from 1 species
UAGAAAAUAAGCACAGAAGAGACUCCCAAUUUGAAUCCAUUAAAGAACUAGUAGAAGAAUGCUUACCUGAGAAGAGAAGACCGGGAGCAAUAGAAUCGUUUGCCUGGAGUUGAUGGCAGAAGUGACGGCAAAGUCCAAGCGUUCAGGACGGCUAGUAGAACAGGGCUGAGUCGAACAGAAAGAUGUUCGGCGGCAACGGCACCCUCGGGCUCGACGACGCGGGGAAAACGGGGUAUGCAGCCAGGGACUCACCAAGAAAAAUCAAGAAGAUAAUACGGCGAGCCGAAGAAUCUAGAAAAUCCAAUUAACGAACAUAAAACAGCAAAAACCUAGAAAAUAAGCACAGAAGAGACUCCCAAUUUGGAUCCAUUGAAGAGCUGGUAGAAGAAUGCUUACCGGAGAAGAGAAUACCGGGGAGCAAUAAAAUCGUUUGCAUGGAGUUGAUGGCGGAGGUGAGGCCAAGCUUCACGUCGGCUAGGAGAACAGGGCUGAGUAGUCGAACAGAAGAGAUGUUCGGCAGCAACAACGCACCCUCGGGCUAGACGAGGAGGCAAAACAGGGUAUGCAGCCAGGGACUCACCAAGAAGAAUCAAGCAGAUGAUAUGGCUAGAAGAAGAAUCAAGAAGACUACGAACGGAGAGGCAAAGAAUUAAGAAGACGACGACCUCCCAAGAUGAGAGAGUUUGACCGAGAAGUUUUUGUA